GACGAACCGUGCGAACGUUAUUCGGAAUCACUGGGCUUAAAGCGCGUGUAGGCGGGUCGGCGCGUCGGCCGCUGAAAUCCCCCGGCUCAACCGGGGAAGGGGCGCCGAGACGGCCGGCCUGGAGGGACGUAGGGGGGGCUGGAACUUCCGGUGGAGCGGUGAAAUGCGUAGAGAUCGGAAAGAACACCAACGGCGAAAGCACUCUGCUGGGCCGACACUGACACUGAGAGACGAAAGCUAGGGGAGCGAAUGGG
rnacentral:rRNA from 1 species